CUAAAAUGAACAUCGAGUACUAGAUAUGUGGUGAGGAAAGAUUUCUGCGAGUAAGGUAUCGGCGCUGGAUAACAUGGCUGUGCAAAGUUCCUUGGUCUCAGGGUCCUACACAUGCUUGGAAGUUAAGCACGUGUGUGCCAAAAAGGAGUAUGUUGGAAUGCUUCUUAUUCAGGACAGACCAAUGGAUAGCAUGUGACAACCUCACUUCAAUAAAGCAAUGUUCUAGGAAUUAGCUGCAUGUCUUUGGAGGCCAUUGCCAUCACCUUGGAUACAAACCCGGAGCAAGUGCGUGAAGGAACCCACAAUGGAAAUAAAUGACUUUGCAAGCUGCUCUGUAAGACCCCAAUUUUCAGUCAUAUUUUACCUUUUGUGGAGAUUGGGUAAUGUAUCAUGCAAAAACAUGGUACAAUCUGUUCUAAUUUCUAGACAAAUUUCAGUAAAUUUCCUGCCACUUUCUGCUUAUUGUAUAAUCAUGGAGUUAUUUUCACAAUUACAGUGAAGUAAUUGCCUUGUUUGUCUUUUGUAUAUAUAGUAAAGUUAAACAAAGAAAUGACAGUCAAGUGCACUUUAAAAACAGAAACAAAACCAUUUGACCUCUCCUCUAUUUUUAAAAAAAAAGUGUCUGUAGAAGUGACAUAUAAUUCUCCAUUUAAUAUUCAAGUAUUUUAACUUUAGAAGUAAAUUCAUUAUGUUUAGCUUUCAUUUUCUUUUAUUAACUGUUCAAGGAACAUUAGAACAAAAGCAGCUCAUUUGUUUCCUCAUGACAAUUCCAUCCUUCAAUUAAGCCAAGGCUUAUCUUAACUGCAUAUACACGUUUUUGUUCCAUUAUACUUAACAUUAUUGCCUCUUUAUGAUCACAUCUCAAUCUUCUCUUAAAGAAUAAAGGAAUUCAAGAAUUAAUAUAACCUACUUUUGUUAUUUAAGCCUUUCAUAUCCAGUGCAUUCUGCUGAAUAUUUUGGAGAUACAUUGUAGAGAACACAAUAAACCAAACCUGGCUCAACGAGGCUAAAACAAAACUUGUAUGACCUUUUUUUUCUUCUAAUUCACUGGAGGUGAAAAUAACCAAAAGCAUUUUUACUUAAGGUUUGAAACUAUCCUAAUAUUUUUAGGUAUUUCAGCAUGUAGGCUCCAAUGAUCUAUCUCCUCUUUUAUACUUCGUUGUUCAGAACAUGUUCUGAGUGAUUCUUCUUCAAUCCAAAAUGAAUGUGCUUGCAUUUUCCAAUACUGAGUUCUAUUUACCUUAGCCUUGGCCACUCACUUGGCUCACUAAUGACCCUUUGGAGUAUUCUGCAUCUGUCAAUACCACUUAAUUUCUGCCUAAAUUAAUGCCAGUAACAGAAGUGGUUGUAUAGCUCUUCAUUCCCACACUAAUAAAAUGGAGGGUUGUGCACAAGGGGAAUCCAGUCUGCCCAUCAAUCCUGUUCCAGCUCUUUGAAACAGAGAUUUUUAAAAGAAUAACUAUCACCCCAGUUAUUUGUCCAAUUCUCUUUAAGCUCUUGCUAAUUAAUAUUAUUUAGCCAUUCUUUAGGGCAACAGACAUCAGAUUGCCUGAAUUUGGUGUGUAAAACAUCAAAUUACUUCCUCAUCUCAACUUUGUCCUUUACCCUAAAAUUUGACUUAUUGCUGACUGGUAUAUCUGCCUCUGGAAAUGCCAUAGAGGACUACAACUCUGAAACAAGUCCUUAGACCUAUCUAAUCCCUGCUGAAUCAUUAAUCUGCCAUUGACCUGCAUCACAAUUAAGGUUUAUUCUUAAUUGCGUUUUCAGAAUGCUCAUACCUCACUGACAUCCCUUCUUUUAAUCUUCCAUGUUUUAAGGGGAACAACAGCUGCUUAUAAAACCACACAUUGACACCAUUCCAGUUAUUGCAUGCAGUUACCAAGAUGAAUGGGAUUGCAAUUUCCAUCACCAAAUUUCAUUUGCACAAACUUGGCUACUUACAAAACUCAUUAAUGACCAUUUGCAGGUCUUCUGCUCCUAUUGGUACUCCUUACUGACCUGCUAGCUUAAAGACAUUUAACAAAAAUGGAUGUUUAGCUCCAUCACAUUGACUUUGGCAAAAAGUUACAGAAUACUGGGUGAAGCUUGAUUGGUUCUCUUGGCUCAAUUUGUCCAAUAUUAUCAUAGAAAGCUUACAACGUGGAAGAAAUUGGCUCAGUUUCUUGUGUUUGCACCAGCUCCAUUCGAGAGCAGUUCAGCUAGCCCAAUCUAGCCCAAUUUUCCUGUAUUUUCCCUCUAACCCUACAAAUUCAUUAUUUUCAUGUCCUCAUCUAUCUCUCUUCUGUAUUUUCCAAUGAAUCUACCUUACUGCAAGCAGUACCUGGCAGUGCUUUCCAGACUGCAAACGCUCACUGCAUUUAAAAUAAAAGAUCUUCUCCUUGAGGCAGUCGCAUUAGCAACAUUUAAAAGCCAUCUAGAUAAUUACAUGGAUAGGAGAAAUUCAGAAUGCUCUGGGCCAAACAUGGGCAGAUGGGAUUAGUUUGCUGGGUAACAGGAUCUGCAUGGAUGAGAUAGGCUGAAGGACCCAUUCCAUGCUGUAUGACCCUCUAGCUCUCAACAUAUUAUCUUCACUCUAUGUCUCCAUUUACUUAACCAUUUUAAGUAUCUUUAACAGAACUUAAUUUCCCCAGUUCUACAGAGAACAGCCUCAACUCCUCUGGUGUACCCACAUAAUUAAAGCCACUCAUUCUGGAAUUACAUUGGGAAAUGUCCAGCGCACAAGACCUUAUAUCUUCAAUGAGGCAUUGUACAUUUAUCAGGAUAUAAUCACCACUUCAUUGCCAAAGCAAGUGAUCCUAAAAUGUUUUCUGUCAUUUGUUGUGAGUAAGCUGUUCCUCUAUUUAUAAAACCCAGGGUACUGCACCUGUUUAGAGCUACUUUCUCUAUUUUGCUAUUUACAAUAGACCAUGCCCUGGAAUCCUUAGUUUUUGCGUCUUGCAGAAUAUUACCCUUCAGUUUAUCUUGGCUCUUCCCAUUCCUGCUUCAAAAAUAUAGUAACUCAUAUUUCCCAGCAUUAAAUGUGUCACCAUUUCUGUUCAUCCCACCGACCUACCUGUAUCUCCCUGAACUCUAUUACCAUGUUCUUCACAUAUCCAGGUUUUACAGCAUCUGUACUUUUCAAACUUUAGUAUGCACACUAAAGAGCAAAUUACUAAUGUAUUUAUAAUGAGUGAGGUCUCAGUAAUGAUCCUGAGGGGACUCCACUGCACUGUUUCAGUCUGAAAAGCAAAUUUUCAUUGCGACUGUUUUCUGCUCCUCAGCCCUUUUUUUAAAAAAAAAUCCACACACCUACAUUCUCUUCUAUUCAGGCAAUUCUUUCUUGAUGUCAAGCCUAUUGAAUGCUUAAAAGAUUAUGAUUAGUGUAUCCACAAUUUCCUACCUUACUUUGCCUUUCAGUGUGUAUUAUCUACAAAAUGCACUGCAACAAUACACCAAAGUUCCUAAGGCAGCACUUCCAGACCCAUAACCACUACCUCUAGAAGGACAAGAACAGCAGACACCUGGGCACCACCACUUGGAAAUCCCCCUCCAAGUCACUCACCAUCCUGACUUGGAAACAUAUCGCUGUUCCUUCAUUGUCGUUGGGUCAAAAUCAUGGAAUUCCCUCCCUAACAGCAUUGUGGGUGUACCUACACCUCAGGGACUAUAGCAGUUCAAGAAGGCAACUUGUCACCACCUUCUCAAGGGCAACUAGGGAUGGGCAAUAAAUGUUGGCUUAGCUGGCAAUACCCAUAUCCCAUAAAUUAAUAAAUACAUUUUUAAAAACUUCCCUGAGAAUCUUAGGGUGCAAUAUGAUUACAGUGAGUAUAAUGAUUUUGAUUCAAACAUUGAAGGACAUUACUAAAAAUAUACAUAUAAAUGGAAUGCCUGCAGUCCAUAAAUAAAAAUGGAGUGGAAAUAUUCCAUUCCCAUUUUUGGAAGACUAUAAUUAGAUGGAAAGUUUUUGGAUUAUUCCUACCAUAACUCAGAUAUAUUUAUAUACCAUGUCUUACAUUCUUUCAAGAUGUCCAAAGCCUCUGAUGUACAGUGACUUUUUAAAAAGUAAAAAUAUACAGAAGUCAUUUUUCAAUAAAUAAACUCAAAUGAGAAAUAGGGGGAAUAAUGACUAGAUAAAAUGUUUUAGUGGUGUUGAGGGCUUGGGAAUAAGUUUUAGCCUGAAUCCCCAAAGUAGUACUUCCAUUCUGAAAGGAUUGAGAUGCCUUACGUUAAUUUGAGGCAAUAACUGGCACCUCAGAUUAAUGUCUCAUCUGAAAGAUAUCAAUCUAUUGCCACAGCACUGAACUAGCAGACUUAGCUCUCUUGAAUAGGUACAAACUUCACACAAGUUAGGCAAGUAUCACUUGUUAUAAUUUGUGCUAUCUUGUAUUUAAGGAGGUAAAUUAGGUUAAAGCUGGCAUAAACUGCUAGUAUACUAAAAUUAAUAUUAAAUUGUGUAACACUGAAAUUAAUAAGUAAUUAAACAUAAUGUAAUUGCACAAUUUCAGCUUUGGAAACAUGUGUAACAUACUUCUUUUCUCUCACACACACACAAACAUUUAUACACACUGAUAUAUUUAUGGAGUGCAGGUACAGUGUGAGCUUCAGAAAAAUAACAUACAGAGUUGUGGAACAGCCUGGUACUGUACACUGUAUUUUUAGAAUAUAUAAUAUCUGUUUUUUAUACAGUUUUGGGCUUGGCAGCAUUUUAUGAGCACGCACAACCACCAAAUGAUGGAGAUACAAACAUGUGAUGUACUAGCUUUGGCUUACCUCUUGUCAGAGCCUAUAUGUCAAGAAAAGUAGGCAGGCAUGUUUUGGAGUUUUAUUUUGUUAUUUUAGAUUCCACUCAGAUUGUGUUUUCCUGGUGUCAUCAGAGAACUAUCCUUGUGCCUCCAGGCCAUUUUCUUUUUUACCCUCUCUCUCUCUCUUAUCUUGGCACUUCAGAACAAGUGGGCCUGCCCCAUGUCUAGCUCAGGUUCUCAUUGGCUUCUCAUUCAUUUUCUUCCUGCCCCAAGUUAUUCCCAGCCUAGCUUCCUCGUGGCACUUACUCACACUUCAUAAUAAUGUGAAAAAUAAAUUGUAACUAGUUGGCUUUGUUCAUGCCUUGAGAGAUAAUCUGUCUGAAAAAAGUAUUAGUUGCUUUCUCAUUCAUCCUGUGGAUAUUCCAGCACAGAUUUGAUGUGUGAACUACAACCCACUAUUGCUUAAUGAAUUCAUUCAUAAUGCUAUCUUGUAUCAUGGUAAAUGUUUUACAGCUGAGAUCACAAACAACGCACAACAGCAGCAUGGAAAAUGUUAUCCUCUGAAUGUGCAAUAUUGUAUGUUGGAUUGCACUUCCGAAAUUAAAUUCAAUGGAACGAUAUUCCAGAAGUAGAGCCAAUUGCUGCAGAUUUCCUUACAUUGUGCAUAUAUUUCAUAUAACAGAGGUCAAACUUAUAAGGGUUUUGUGGUUUUAUUUUUACAAUUGAAAGGAAAGAAAAGCUGAUUUUUUUCCCCUGUGAAAUGCUCGACAUAUGGUCUG